rnacentral:rRNA from 1 species
AUACGUAGGUGACAAGCGUUAUCCGGAUUUACUGGGCGUAAAGGGCGUGUAGGCGGUCUUGCAAGUCAGAAGUGAAAUUCCUGAGCUCAACUCGGGCGCUGCUUCUGAAACUGCGGAGCUUGAGUGCAGGAGAGGUUAUCGGAAUUCCCGGUGUAGCGGUGAAAUGCGUAGAGAUCGGGAGGAACACCAGUGGCGAAGGCGGGUAACUGGACUGCAACUGACGCUGAGGCGCGAAAGUGUGGGGAGCAAACAGGAUUAGAUACCCUGGUAGUCCACGCUGUAAACGAUGAUUACUAGGUGUGGGGGGACUGACCCCUUCCGUGCCGCAGUUAACACAAUAAGUAAUCCACCUGGGGAGUACGGCCGCAAGGUUGAAACUCAAAUGAAUUGACGGGG